AGAGGGAGAAAAAAAAAAAGAAAAAGAAAAAAAAGCUGUAUUGUGCUCUUUCAGCUCUUCUUCCCUAACCAAAUCUGCCACUGCCACAUUUUUCCCCAGUGCCUCCUGUCAUCUUCCUUUAUGCAAGCUUAAAGCUUGAGGCAGCUCCAUGGGGUGGGGGGUUUUGAAGGUGACUGCACUGCCAUGAAGCUUCUCUCCCCACCUCUUGCUGCUAGAAACAGCCUCGUCCAUCCUCCCUCCUUCCAUCUGCCAGCGCUGAUGUGGGAAUGAAGUUUCUGGCACUGCUGCUGAACUGUAAAUUGACUUCAGGGCAGAGACCAACUCCUGCAGCGUGUGAGGGGGGUGUGUCUGUGGAAGAGCUAAACCAACCUAUUUGCUGGCUGUCACCAAGAAAGCAUUUGGUCUAACCUCACAGUGAGCUUGUUAAAGACGCAGGAGCUCCAUGGCAACCUUCACAUCUUGUUUGAUGGAUGAUGAUGUUUACUACCAGGCAUGAAGUGAGAAACUUGUCGUAACCGAUGCCAAGCACUUUCAAGCCCCGUGGCACCAUGAUAAGGGGUCAAACUGUACUGUGGCUCAGGUGAGGAGGUGAGAGAAGUCUGGCAGAGGGUCUCCACGUGCCACCCGAUACUAUCUUUCUGAAAGGUACAGUGGCACAAGUCUGGAACGGAAGAAGAGCAAGGUGAAUUUCUUCCUUGUCUCAACCAUAAUUAUCAUUUUCUCUACUUGAUUCUACAGAGACCUUUCAUGUUACAGUGGUACAAUAAAGCCGAUGGAAAUAAAUGUGCAUCUUCCCUCCAGCUCUCUUAUCAAUACCUUUGUACAACGAUAAAUAACAGGAAAGCAGAGUUCGCUUGUCAGUGUUACCAGCUGCCAUUGCUUUCUUUAAACAUACAUUCAUAUAUAUUUCAGUCUUCUUUAUUGCUGACUUUUCUGAAAUAAAUAACAACAUGAGACGGGGCUGUGGACACAUUGUCUUACCCAAGACAAGAUUUUAAAUAAAGACUUCUAAAUAAGGUAUUACUAACAGCCAGGUGUUAGAUAUCUUGCUUUUUUAUUCUUAUUUUCAGUAGUUGUUUUAUCUUCAGGGCGUGCCAGAGAAACUAGUCAAAAGCAAACCAGGUUGCUAAUUAGUCUCAAAUUAGGUUAUGUUGACAGCUAACCCUAAUUUACACUUUGACACAUAGAAGGGUGUGUGUACUUGUUGAUACCUCGUUGGUCUGGCACAGCCCUAUAAGCAUUGUAGGGGAGAGCAUCCCCUUCCCCAUCAACAUCCCAUUUUCUGCCCCUUGCCUGGUCACAGCUGGUUCUGGCUUGUCUUUGGCCUCUGCUUGACCAGACACCACACUCGUGUCCUGCUGUCCCCAGCGGGUCCAGAGGCCUUCUGCAUGUUCCUGGAGUUUUACUUCCCGUCGUUAACAUGAGUACCGUGACAACAGUGAGUGCAAUUGAGCAGCAUGGACACUUCAGGAUCCAACAUGCCGUCAGUUUGAGGACAACUUGUUGGGAUGUGCUUUUGCAGGCAGGUGCCCAUGGAAACCAUGUUUUUCUAGCUUGUCAUGACUGAAAUCAAGACACCCAACAUCUGCUACCUCCCCCUUUCCCAGUCAUACCAUCAACGAGGGAAAUGAGUUUGGGUUUGGUACAAUGUGUUCCUGACGUAUCCACUCUGGCUUUUUUUAGUCUCUUUAUUUUCCUCCUGCUGUUUAUAACAAGAUUGUUUAAUAAUUUGCUCUAGUCUCUUUCCAGACUGACAGUUUUAUGGUUCCCCAGCUUCUCAUUUUCCACCUUUAAAAGGGAGAAGCACUCUGUUUACCCUCCUGGUAUGUGGCACAAGCGAUUUCACACGAAGGAGCAGCAAAAUGAUAUUGCAUUAUGACAAGGACUCUGAGUCAUCGUGAGGAUUAACCAGGAACCACAGCGGUGAGGGGACAGUAGCAAUGUGGCAGGUAGCACUGUCCCACCUUUGCAGAGGGUUGCGUGAAGCUGGGCGGAGCCACACAGCGGCAGUGGGAUCAGGAUGGCUGCAGAGAGAAAAGAGAAUGGCAAGGACAAGCACUGAAGACACUGGAUUAUCAGUGGUAUCCAACAAUGUUGGUGUUUGGCUUUGGGUAUUUUGGUGUUUCAGAAGUGCAAUGUUGACUUGGUGCGUGGCUCUCCAUCUCCCAGUGUGGAAAAACUAAACUUUCCUUUUCCAGCAUGCACUGAUGGUCUGAAAGAACUAAAAGGCCAAUAGAUGACAUCUAGCUUUGAUCAUACCCAUGUUAAUCCCUGAUGUUAAAAACAAAACAAAAAAAAAGAACACUCUAGUUUAAUAAAAAAUGAAUUAACUUCCCACACAUCUUAUUUGAAAUU